UACGUAGGGGGCUAGCGUUGUCCGGAUUUAUUGGGCGUAAAGAGCGUGUAGGCGGCCAUGUAGGUCCGGUGUGAAAACUCGAGGCUUAACCUCGAGAUGUCAUCGGAAACCAUCUGGCUAGAGUCCGGAAGAGGAGAGUGGAAUUCCUGGUGUAGCGGUGAAAUGCGCAGAUAUCAGGAGAACACCAGUGGCGAAAGGCAGACU
rnacentral:rRNA from 1 species